rnacentral:rRNA from 1 species
GUAGGUGGCAAGCGUUGUCCGGAAUUAUUGGGCGUAAAGCGCGCGCAGGCGGUUCUUUAGGUCUGAUGUGAAAGCCCACGGCUCAACCGUGGAGGGUCAUUGGAAACUGGAGAACUUGAGUACAGAAGAGGAAAGCGGAAUUCCACGUGUAGCGGUGAAAUGCGUAGAGAUGUGGAGGAACACCAGUGGCGAAGGCGGCUUUCUGGUCUGUAACUGACGCUGAGGCGCGAAAGCGGGGGGAGCAAACAGGGAUUAGAUACCCUGGUAGUCCACGCCGUAAACGAUGAGUGCUAAGUGUUAGGGGGUUUCCCGCCCCUUAGUGCUGCAGCUAACGCAUUAAGCACUCCGCCUGGGGAGUACGGCCGCAAGGCUG